rnacentral:rRNA from 1 species
AGAGCGAACGCUGGCGGCAGGCUUAACACAUGCAAGUCGAGCGGGCGUAGCAAUACGUCAGCGGCAGACGGGUGAGUAACGCGUGGGAACGUACCUUUUGGUUCGGAACAAUACAGGGAAACUUGUGCUAAUACCGGAUAAGCCCUUACGGGGAAAGAUUUAUCGCCAAAAGAUCGGCCCGCGUCUGAUUAGCUAGUUGGUGAGGUAACGGCUCACCAAGGCGACGAUCAGUAGCUGGUCUGAGAGGAUGAUCAGCCACAUUGGGACUGAGACACGGCCCAAACUCCUACGGGAGGCAGCAGUGGGGAAUAUUGGACAAUGGGCGCAAGCCUGAUCCAGCCAUGCCGCGUGAGUGAUGAAGGCCCUAGGGUUGUAAAGCUCUUUUGGUGCGGGAAGAUAAUGACGGUACCGCAAGAAUAAGCCCCGGCUAACUUCGCGCCAGCAGCCGC